ACAAUCCUGUCUCUCUCUCUCUCUCUCUCUCUCUCUCAGUUCCGAUGGACUACUCAAGUGGCGCGUCGGCGUCGGGGAGGGCGCGGGCGCGGUGGUGCUACUGCCGCUGCUUCCGCCGGUGGUGCCGCUGCUGCUACUGCUGCAACUGCUUCCCCGACGAGCCGCCGCCUACGCCUAGGGUCCCGGGCUCUCAGGGAGAUGCUCAUAUAGGCAUAUGAGCACCGUGAGGAAAUCGAGUACUGUCGUCAUGUACACUAGGAAAAUGGCUACCUUAUUCUUGAAGUAGAUGUUGAAGAAGCUCCUUUUCAGAUGGUUGCUGGACAAUAAAUUUGACUGUACACUAGGCAAAUAGUUACUUGUGAUGAGGCUGUUUAAAGUAUUGCGCUCAUAAUGCUACCUUACCUAGAUGGGAAACAACGUAGCACUUGUAAUACUAAUCUGUGUGACAUGGUUUGCUAAACCAAAGUGCAUACUUGUAAAAUCUAACUGGCACUUUCUGCAUACACUCGGAUGUACAUAAACAAGAUAUUAUAAUCUGUUUCUCGCCAAAGAUACUUGUGUA